CCUACGGGUGGCAGCAGUGGGGAAUAUUGGGCAAUGGGCGCAAGCCUGACCAGCAACGCCGCGUGAAGGGAGAAGGCUUUCGGGUUGUAAACUUCUUUUCUCAGGGACGAAGGAAGUGAAGGUACCUGAGGAAUAAGCCAAGGCUAACUACGUGCCCGCAGCCCCGGUAAUACGUAGGUGGGAAGCGUUAGACGGGUUUAUUGGGUGUAAAGGGCGAGUAGGGGGGGGCGCAAGGCAGAUGUGAAAACUCAGGGCUCAACCCUGAGCCUGCAUUUGAAACUGUGUUUCUUGAGUGCUGGAGAGGCAAUCGGAAUUCCGGGUGUAGCGGUGAAAUGCGUAGAUAUACGGAGGAACACCAGUGGCGAAGGCGGAUUGCUGGACAGUAACUGACGCUGAGGCGCGAAAGCGUGGGGAGCAAACAGGAUUAGAUACCCGAGUAGUC
rnacentral:rRNA from 1 species